UACGAAGGGGGCUAGCGUUGUUCGGAAUUACUGGGCGUAAAGCGCGCGCAGGCGGCUAUCCAAGUCAGUGGUGAAAGCCCGGAGCUCAACUCCGGAACUGCCAUUGAAACUGUUUAGCUUGAGGAUGAGAGAGGUGAGUGGAAUUCCCAGUGUAGAGGUGAAAUUCGUAGAUAUUGGGAAGAACACCAGUGGCGAAGGCGGCUCACUGGCUCAUUACUGACGCUCAGGCGCGAUAGCGUGGGGAUCAAACAGG
rnacentral:rRNA from 1 species